UUGGGUCAGAGUCAGUUUUGGAACAUACCUUUCCACUUAGGAUUUGUGGAAAGGUGUUGGGAAUGAAGCAAACUUUACCAAAUUCUUAUCCCCACCCCCACAUCUCCCCUCUACACACACAUUGUAUGUUCUAGCUAGGAAGUGUCUUUUGCUGGUUGGCUGUGGCAGCUUGUAUAAAAUGGCUCCCAUUGUGAGUGAUACUAUUAGGAGUUGUGGCUUUGUUGGAGUAGGUGUGGUUUUGUCCUACCUGUUGAUCCAGAUGUAGAACUCUCAGCUCUUUCUCCCACACCAUGUCUGUCUGCAUGCUGCAUGCUUCCUGCCAUGAUGAUAAUGGAUUAAACCUCUGAAACUAUAAGCCAGUCCUUAUUGUCCCAAACUCUCCUGGGCGAGCUAGCCCUGCCCCUCUCCAGUUGAUGCCCCCCUGGGAAGGUGGGCGCUGGCAACUAGGAAUUUGACUAUGCUCCAGUGAGUAUAUGGACAACAUAAAAUGGACUUGCUUUUUCCUUUCUUUUAAAGGAGUGCAUUAUGGGAGAAAGUGCACAGACAAGGGAAGACUAAGAGGAGACAGCUGUAUUUGAUCUGAGUGGAUACCUUUUGGACAUAAUGUUGAGUCAGAAUGGUGAAAUCUGGCCCCUGGGCUUCAGGCCAAUUGGACAAGCUGAGGCACCAAGAUGUAUGCAUUGAGAACUCUGCUUUGAAGAUGGAUAUUGGGACAAACUAGGUCGAUACUGCAGAGGAGCUGCAGUGUGGCUCUUUGGUGUCCUGGGUAUGUGUGUGCAGGCUGGAGGUUGCUGUUGGCUAUUUUCCUGUGAUACUUUACAUCUUGCUUUUUUGAGGUAGGAUCUUUCACCUAACCUGUAGGUCAUGGACUGGGCAAGAUGAACUGGCCAGUGAGCUGCUGGCUCUGCCUUCCCAGCACUAGGAUUGUAGGUCUGUACUACCACACCCACACCCAGCUUUUAGUAUGGGGGCUCAGGAUCCAAACUCAAAUCCCCAUGCUGCUUGCACAGCAAUCUUUUAUUACUAAGCCAUGUCCCAAGCCUCAGGGCUUGCUUUUUUCUUUUCCUUUUUUUAAAUCAAAUUAUCC